UACAGAGGGUGCUAGCGUUGUUCGGAAUUAUUGGGCGUAAAGCGCGUGUAGGCGGCCAAGCAAGUCGGGUGUGAAAGCCCUCAGCUUGACUGAGGAAGUGCGCCCGAAACUACAUGGCUUGAGUACCGGAGAGGGUGGCGGAAUUCCCGGUGUAGAGGUGAAAUUCGUAGAUAUCGGGAGGAACACCAGUGGCGAAGGCGGCCACCUGGACGGCUACUGACGCUGAGACGCGAAAGCGUGGGGAGCAAACAGG
rnacentral:rRNA from 1 species